rnacentral:rRNA from 1 species
AGCGUAGGCGGGAAAUUAAGUUAAGUGUGAAAGCCUUGGGCUUAACCCAAGAAAUGCACUUAAUACUGGUUUUCUAGAGUGUAGGAGAGGUAAGUGGAAUUCCUAGUGUAGCGGUAAAAUGCGUAGAGAUUAGGAGGAACAUCAGAGGCGAAGGCGGCUUACUGGACUAUAACUGACGCUGAGGCUCGAAAGCGUGGGGAGCAAACA